GGGGACAGAGAGAGAAGACGGCCGCACACAGACUAAAGGUAAGGGCUAAGGGCUUUGCCCUUUCCCUUCACCUCAACUCCAUUCAUCUCAUCCUCUUUUUCCCCUCAAGACCACCCAACCAUCAUUCACCCUCUUCUCAAUCUCUCCCUCCUCCUCAUCCAUUUUCUUAGUUUAUUUGAUUUUCUUUGGGGCAUUUUAAGGAUUACUCACAUCAAGCUUCAAGAAGUCAUCAAGCGAACAAACUCAGGAAAGUCGGUUGAUGACUGUCAAGUUCCACGAUCAAAAUCUAAAAGAGGAAAUGCAUAAGCGAAAAAUGAACGCAAUUAAUGAAGAAGGAAAGAAGAGAAAGAGGACAGUUGAUGAAGGAGAAAAAAAAAAGAGAAAGAGGACAGUGGAUGAAGAGGAUGAUGGUGUACUGCUGUCCAAACUAUUUCUGGGACAAGAAAUAAGGAGAAAACAAGAGAAGAAAACUAAGAUAGAGGAGCCAAAGAAGAAGAAUGCGAAGAAGAAGACAUCUGAAAUGUAGGAGGAAGAAGAAGAUGAGACAGAGAAGAAGAAAUCAAAUCAGUUCAGAUCAACAUGGCCUGAAAUGGACAGUUUUAGAGAUGUAUUAGAUGAAGAAGCACUUCAUGAGCUGAGAAAUGACUCGUUUGGUUUAAUUUUUGAAGGAUUUUAUAAGCAUGUCAACAAAAAGCAUUUUGGGAAGUCGAACAAGCUCAUUGAAUAAUCGCUGACACUUACAAUGAAAAGCUUGAUGCAUUUGUGAUCGGGGAAGGAAGAUACAAAAUCACAAGCAGAGAUGUAUCUGAGAUUCUAGGACUUCCUAGAAAAGGUGGCUCUUUUGACACAAUGCAAGUGGAAGAGAAUGUAGCAAAUACAUUGUUUGGGACAAGCAAAAGAGUGACAAAAUAGUGUGUGAUAGAUACUUUAAGAAAGCUGAAGGACCAGCAACCAACAAAUGAAGAAGAAAGAAGAGAAAAAAUUUGGUUAGGCUGGUGAUUUUAGAAAUUUGCAUAAAGUUUCUAUUUGCAAUAGGGGAGGGAAUGUAUCAAACGAGCUGAUAAAUGCAAUAUAGGGGAAUAUAGAGAGCUAUCGAUGAGCUAAAGAGGUUGGAAGAUUUUUGUCGGGUUGUUUAAGACAAUGACUAAAAUCAAAAGUAUUGGCUCUGUGAGAAGACAAACGUCACAAAGCCGAUUGAAGGCACAGAGGAUGAGGAACAUAAGAUGAGGAAAUAUGACCUCACAAAGCUAACAAAGAAAGUUGAAUUCAAAACGUUGACACAACUAUUCGCUGGAAUCAAGUCUGAUCCAGAAAAAACAUAUUGUGAAUCUGAAGAAGAAGAAGAAGAAACAUGGAAGGCAACAGAGGAAGGAGAAAGGCCACCGUCCUCUAUAAUAUCCGAUCAAAGCCAAGAAGGAAACCAAAAAGUAAAGGAGGUUGAAAUGAGACGCUAACAGAGGAGAACGAAAGGAUGCGCUGUCAAACUGAAAGCUUGAAAGAGGAAAAGAGAAACAUGGAAGAAGAGUAUGAAUCAAGGCAGACAGAACUACAUGAGAAGUUGGAAAAUGCAGUACAGGAUUUGAUGGUUGAGAG